CCUGCACUGAUGCAAUGAAACAAGCAUAAGAUGGAGCAUGACUUGCCAAGCGGUGCCAUGUCCGGGAUCCGAACCGGCGAACCCCGGGCCACUGAAGCAGAACAUGAGCACUUAACCACUGCGCCACCAGGCUGGCCCUGAAAAAAGACUUUUUAGUUAGAAAAGGCCCUUGGAAGAUAAGCGGACAUCACAUUGAUGGGGAGACAUUCCUUUGAUAGGUUGGUAUAUGGCCCCUUAUGGGCCACAGGUAGUCAGUCCCAGUCGUUUGUUUCUACCACCUAAAUAGUGCUUCUUUAUCCACUUUUCUCUCUCCUAACUGCCAUAUCCUAGUUGAGGCCUUAUCAUCUCCCACAGUUGCUAAGGUGGCUGCAAGUUAGUGCUCCUGCCUUCAGUCCUGCAUCCUCCACUCCAUUCUCCACAUGCAAAUCUAAUCACGUCCCUCCCAGGGGAAGAUGCUUCAAUGCUCUGAGGCAGAGGCAAUUUAUCAGAAAACUAAUGAAGCUUGAGGUGUACUUGCUCAGGCUCCUACCAGGGAAGGCUGUGAACUUAAUUUUGUAGCCAUAAAUAUAAAAUCAUGGAUUUCUUAAAGAGGGCCCCCAAAAUUGUAUAUACUUCCAGCCCCACAAAAUUUAGAUGUGCCCCUGUGAUAAAUAACCCUUUCUGAACAGUGUCCACAAGGCCUGCACAAUAUGACCCUUUCUUUCCUAAUCUCUCCCCAUCUACUGCGUUGCAGUUUAUAUGUAUCUUCCAGCUAUAAUGAAGUUUCAUUUCCUCCAGAGUGCCAUGUUCUUUCAUCUGUGGGCAAACUCAAAUAUCCCUCCCUCACUUAGAACCCUUCCUGGCCCUCUCUUCACUUGCUAACUCAUCUCCAACAUCAACCUAAAUACCAAGACCUUCGGAAGUCUUCACUGACUCUCCAGCCGGGAUUUCUGAUGUGCUCCCACAGCACCUUGUCCUCCCCCUGGAGGAAUCUUGAUCACACUAUAAUGUCAUUGCCAAGUGACUUAUAUGUACCCCUACUGGAUUAUAGGCUCUAUGGAGGCAGUGACAUCAACUUUCCUUUCUUGUCUGCACCAAGCACAAUGGCUAGUGACCAGUAAUGGGGGAAUCAAUAAAUAUUUAUUGAAUGAAUGAACAUCAGACUUUGAUUUCAAAUGCUGGCCAAGCAAUACACAAUGAGCUGAAUACUCCUCCUUUGGAAAAAGUAGUAAUUAAUUUUUCUUAGACUUUUCAUAGUAUAAAACUUAACUAUGAAGAAAGUUCUUUGAAACUUAAGUUUCCCUUUGAAAAUUGGCUGUUCACAGAAGUAGAACAACCAUUCUAAAAUUUGUAUGGAAACACAAAAGACCUCAAAUAGCCAAAGCAACUUGAGAAAGAAGAACAAAGUUGGAGGCAUCAUGCUCCCUCAUUUCAAACCAUAUUACAAAGCUAUAGCAAUCUAAACAGUGGUAUUGGCGUAAAAACAGACACAUAGAUCAGUGGUACAGAAUAGAGAGCCCAGAAUUAGAUUCAUGCGUAUAUAGUCGAUUUAUGACAAAGGAGCCAAGAAUAUACAAUGAGGAAAGGGCAGUCUCUUCAAGAAAUGGUGUUGAGAGAACUGGACAGCUACUUGCAAAAGAAUGAAACAGGACCUCUAUUUUACAUCAUACACAAAAAUUAAAAUGGAUUGAAGACGUGAACAUAACACCUGAAAUCAUAAAACUAGAAGAAAACAUAGGUGGUAAGCUUCUUGACGUCAGUCUUGGCAACAACGUUUUUGUAUUUGACACCAAAAGCAAAGGCAAUAACAGAAAAAAUAAACAAAUGGGACUACAUAAAACUAAAAAGCUUCUGCACAGCAAAGGAAACCAUCAACAAAACGCAAAGGCAACCUAUCAAAUGGGAGAAAAUAUUUGCAAAUCAUAUAUCUGAUAAGGGGUUAAUACCCAAAAUAUAUAAAGAACUCAUACAACUCAAUAGCAAAAUAAAAAAGUCUGAUUAAAAAAUGGGCAGAUGAUCUGAAGAGACAUUUUCCCAAAAAAAGACAUCCAGAUGGCCAACAGGCACAUGAAAAGGUGCUCAACAUCACUCAUUGUCAGGGAAAUGCAAAUCAAAACCACAAUGAGAUAUCACCUCACACCUGUUAGGGUGGCUAUUAUCAAAAAAACAAGAGAGAAGUGUUGAUGAGGAUGUGGAGAAAAGGGAACCUUUGUGCACUGUUGGUGGGAAUGUAAAUUGGUUCAGCCACUAUGGCAAACAGUAAGGAGGGUCCACAAAAAACUGAAAAUAGAAUUACCACCCGAUCCACCAAUUCCACUUCUGAGUAUGUAUCUCAAGGAAAAGUUGGGGUCUUUUGUGUUUCCAUACAAAAAACUAACUCAAAAAGAUAUCUGCACCUCCGUGUUCAUUGCAGCAUUAUUCACAAUAGCCAAGAUAUGGAAACAACCUCAGUGUCCAUUGGUGGAUGGAUGGAUAAAGAUGUGCUAUAUAUACACACACAAUGGAAUAUUAUUCAGCCAUUAAAAAGUGAAAUCUCGCUAUUUGCAAAAACAUGGAUGGACCUUGCAGGCAUUAUGCUAAGUGAACUAAAUCAGACAGAGAAAGACACAUACUGCAUGAUCUCACUUAAAUGUAAAAUCUAUUUUAUUUAUUAGUUUAUUUAUUUUGAGGAAGAUCAGCCCUGAGCUAACAUCUGCCAAUCCUCCUCUUUUUCACCAAGGAAGACUGGCCCUGAGCUAACAUCCAUGCCCAUCUUCCUCCAUGUUACAUGUGGGAUGCCUACCACAGCAUGGUGUGCCAAGCGGUGCCAUGUCUGCACCCAGGAUCCAAACUGGUGAACCCCGGGCCGCCAAAGCGGAACGUGCUCACUUAACCGCUGCGCCACCUGGCUAGCCCCUAAAUGUAGACUCUAAAAAACAAAAAAUGAAACAAGCUCAUAGAUUCAGGGAACAGAUUGGUGGUUGCCAGAGGCGGGGGAUGGAGGGUUGGGUGAAGCUGAUCAAAAGGUAUAAACUUGCACUUAUAAAAUACGUAAGUCAUGGGGAUGUAAUGAACAGAUGGUGACUGUAGUUAAUAAUAUUGUAUCAUAUAUUUGAAAGUUGCUAAGAGAGUAGAUCUCAAAAUUUUUCAUCAUAAGGAAAAAAAAUUUGUAACUGUGUGGUGAUGGAUGUUAACUAGACUUACUAUGGUUUUCAUUUCAUAAUGUAGACAAAUAUCGAAUCAUUAUGUUGUACACCUGAAACGAAUAUAAUGUUCUAUGUCAAUUACACCUCAAUAAUAAAAAGAAGAUGGGCUGAAUGUAACAAA
ensembl:lncRNA